rnacentral:rRNA from 1 species
GACGAACGCUGGCGGCGUGCCUAACACAUGCAAGUCGAGCGGGAACCUCGGGAGGGGCAACCCUUCCGAGGGGAGAGCGGCGAACGGGUGAGUAACACGUGGGCAACCUGCCCCGGACACCGGGAUAACCCAGGGAAACCUGAGCUAAUACCGGAUACUCCGGCGUGAUCGCAUGGUCGCGCCGGGAAAGCCCCGACGGUCCGGGAUGGGCCCGCGGCCUAUCAGCUUGUUGGCGGGGUAACGGCCCACCAAGGCGACGACGGGUAGCUGGUCUGAGAGGACGGCCAGCCACACUGGGACGGAGACACGGACCAGACUCCUACGGGAGGCAGCAGUGGGGGAUCGUGCGCUAAUGCGCGAAAGCGUGACGCAGCGACGCCGCGUGGGGGAUGAAGGCCCUCGGGUUGUAAACCCCUUUCGGCAGGGACGAAGCGAAAGUGACGGUACCUGCAGAAGAAGUCCCGGCUAACUACGUGCCAGCCGCCGCAGUAACAC